CAGUAGCCGCGGUAAUACGAAGGGUGCAAGCGUUAAUCGGAAUUACUGGGCGUAAAGCGUGCGUAGGCGGUAAGUUAAGUCUGCUGUGAAAUCCCCGGGCUCAACCUGGGAAUGGCAGUGGAUACUGGCUCGCUAGAGUGUGUCAGAGGAUGGUGGAAUUCCCGGUGUAGCGGUGAAAUGCGUAGAGGUCGGGAGGAACAUCAGUGGCGAAGGCGGCCAUCUGGGACAACACUGACGCUGAGGCACGAAAGCGUGGGGAGCGAACAGGAUUAGAUACCCGAGUAGUCCUUGUCUCUUAUAC
rnacentral:rRNA from 1 species